rnacentral:rRNA from 1 species
GUGCCAGACUCCUACGGGAGGCAGCAGUGAGGAAUAUUGGUCAAUGGUCGGGAGGCUGAACCAGCCAAGCCGCGUGAGGGAGGAAGGUACAGAGUAUCGUAAACCUCUUUUGUCAGGGAACAAAGGCGGGGACGUGUCCCCGGAUGAGUGUACCUGAAGAAAAAGCAUCGGCUAACUCCGUGCCAGCAGCCGCGGUAAUACGGAGGAUGCGAGCGUUAUCCGGAUUUAUUGGGUUUAAAGGGUGCGCAGGCGGUCUGUUAAGGCAGCGGUCAAAGCCCGGGGCUCAACCCCGGCCGGCCGUUGAAACUGGCGUGCUCGAGUUGGAGAGAAGUAUGCGGAAUUCGUGGUGUAGCGGUGAAAUGCAUAGAUAUCACGAAGAACCCCGAUUGCGAAGGCAGCAUACCGGCUCCACACUGACGCUGAGGCACGAAAGCGUGGGUAUCGAACAGGAUUAGAUACCCUCGUAG